rnacentral:tRNA from 1 species
GGGGUUGUGGCUCAAUGGUAGAGCGCUCGCCUAGCAUGUGUGAGGCACUGGGUUCGAUCUUCAGCACCA